AUAACAGUUCCGAGUAGACGUUGUGCCCACUGCCCGAAACUGCCCACCACCAUUUCCGAGCCCGACACCCGGAACAAAUGUGUAAGUCCAAGAAGCUCACGCCGUACCAGGGCAAACACAAGUCGUUCGGAUACUUUUAUUGUCCGGAAUGCGAAGAGGAAUGGACCUCCAAAAACUCGUGGGCCAACACCUACCAGAUGUGCAUUACUUGCCACACGGUCGUCUACCCCUACAAGCAGCGCAAACAAUCAAGAUACGACGGCUCCGAGGACGACGAAAGUUCCCAUCCCGAGGACCUGUGCCAGCGGUGCAUCGAGACGGGAGAGCCGUGCUGGAAAACCGAAUAAGCCUUGAAGGUAACGGACAUCUGUGCAGCGAGACGACAGGAGGAGGUAGAUGAUGAGGCACUGGGAGAGAGGGAAGAGUAACAGUAGAGGAGGAGAGGAGGUUACGGAGAUAGAGCGUGAGGAAUAGAAGAUGGGAAGAGAUGAAGAGAAAAUGGAGAGUAGCAGAGUGAAAAUGAAGUAGAGGAGAAGGGAGAGGAAAAUGGGAAAAGGAACGUGAUGAAGAGAGGGAGAGAAGGGAUAAGAGGAGGAGGCGGAGGAAUCAGAAUCAGAAUGCUUUAUUCCAUUAAAGUACAAUGUACAAUGGCUUUUCUCUUAAUUACUAAAUACUUUACAUGUAGUACAGAUAUCAUAUAUAAGACUUUCUUUAACUAAUCUUUUAUCUUAAUUACUAAAUAUUUACAUGGGAUAUCAUAUAUAGGAACUUGCUAGAUAUAAUACAUAUGUACGAGAUAAGUGUAUAUUAUGUCCUUCACGCGUUCUUUAGCAAAAGCCUCCUUGAAGAGCGUGAAUAGUUAGGGCUUUCUUGAAGCUCGUGAGUGACGGGAGUUCUUUUAUAUUAGGGGGGAGCUUGUUCCAUGCUCUUGGUCCACUUACUAAUAGUGGCCGCGCACCAUUGUCUGUUCUCACUCUUGGGAUAAAUAGGUCUCCGUUUUGUCUCGUUACAAGUUCGUUAAUUUGUGUUACAUAUGGUAAGUUUAGUAGCCACUCAGGAUAAUAUUUAUGGGUCACUUUAUACACCAUUAUGCACUGAUCGAAUUUCACUUUUUCUUUCAUCUUUAUCCACUUUAGUUCUUGUAACACAGGAGUAGCACGGUCG